UACGUAGGGGGCAAGCGUUGUCCGGAAUCAUUGGGCGUAAAGAGCGCGUAGGCGGCCCAGUAAGUCCGCUCUGAAAGUCAGGGGCUCAACCCCUGGAUGCGGGUGGAUACUGCUGGGCUAGAGUCCGGAAGAGGUGAGUGGAAUUCCUGGUGUAGCGGUGAAAUGCGCAGAUAUCAGGAAGAACACCUAUGGCGAAGGCAGCACUCUGGGACGGUACUGACGCUGAGACGCGAAAGCGUGGGGAGCGAACAGG
rnacentral:rRNA from 1 species